rnacentral:tRNA from 1 species
AAUUUAAUAGUUUAAUAAAAACAUCGAUUUUGUAAAUCGAAGUUAGAAAAAUUCUUUAAAUUA